rnacentral:rRNA from 1 species
GCUCCCUUCGGGGAGCAAGUAGAGUGGCGCACGGGUGAGUAACACGUAGGUAAUCUACCUUUGGAUGGAGAAUAACAACCGGAAAACGGUUGCUAAUACCGCAUAAUGCAGCGGCACCUAAUGGUGACAGUUGUUAAAGCGGGGGAUCGCAAGACCUCGCGUCUGAAGAGGAGCCUGCGGCAGAUUAGCUAGUUGGUAAGGUAACGGCUUACCAAGGCGAUGAUCUGUAGCCGGCCUGAGAGGGCGGUCGGCCACACUGACACUGACAUACGGGUCAGACUCCUACGGGAGGCAGCAGUCGGGAAUUUUGGGCAAUGGGCGAAAGCCUGACCCAGCAACGCCGCGUGAAGGAUGAAAUCCCUCGGGAUGUAAACUUCGCAAGAACGGGAAGAAUAAGUAAGAGUUAAUAUCUCUUACGAUGACGGUACUGUUUGUAAGCUCCGGCUAACUCCGUGCCAGCAGCCGCGGUAAUACGGGGGGAGCAAGCGUUGUUCGGAUUUACUGGGCGUAAAGGGCGCGUAGGCGGCCACUGCAAGUCGACUGUGAAAUCUCCGGGCUUAACCCGGAAAGGUCAGCCGAUACUGCAGGGCUAGAGUGCAGAAGGGGCAACUGGAAUUCUCGGUGUAGCGGUGAAAUGCGUAGAUAUCGAGAGGAACACCUGCGGCGAAGGCGGGUUGCUGGGCUGACACUGACGCUGAGGCGCGAAAGCUAGGGGAGCGAACGGGAUUAGAUACCCCGGUAGUCCUAGCCUUAAACGAUGAAUGCUUGGUGUCUGGGGUUUUAUAGU